UACAGAGGGGGCAAGCGUUGUUCGGAAUUACUGGGCGUAAAGGGCGCGUAGGCGGCCGCCUAAGUCAGACGUGAAAUCCCUCGGCUCAACCGGGGAACUGCGUCUGAUACUGGGUGGCUUGAAUUCGGGAGAGGGAUGCGGAAUUCCAGGUGUAGCGGUGAAAUGCGUAGAUAUCUGGAGGAACACCGGUGGCGAAGGCGACAUCCUGGACCGGUAUUGACGCUGAGGCGCGAAAGCCAGGGGAGCAAACGGG
rnacentral:rRNA from 1 species